rnacentral:rRNA from 1 species
GGCAUGCGCAGCUACACAUGCAGUCGAGCGAGAUCUUCGGAUCUAGCGGCGGACGGGUGAGUAACGCGUGGGAACGUACCCUCUUCUGCGGGAUAGCCACUGGAAACGGUGAGUAAUACCGCAUACGCCCUUCGGGGGAAAGAUUUAUCGGAGGAGGAUCGGCCCGCGUUGGAUUAGGUAGUUGGUGGGGUAAUGGCCUACCAAGCCUACGAUCCAUAGCUGGUUUUAGAGGAUGAUCAGCCACACUGGGACUGAGACACGGCCCAGACUCCUACGGGAGGCAGCAGUGGGGAAUCUUAGACAAUGGGCGCAAGCCUGAUCUAGCCAUGCCGCGUGAGUGACGAAGGCCUUAGGGUCGUAAAGCUCUUUCGCCUGUGAUGAUAAUGACAGUAGCAGGUAAAGAAACCCCGGCUAACUCCGUGCCAGCAGCCGCGGUAAUACGGAGGGGGUUAGCGUUGUUCGGAAUUACUGGGCGUAAAGCGCACGUAGGCGGAUUGGAAAGUAUGGGGUGAAAUCCCAGGGCUCAACCCUGGAACGGCCUCAUAAACUUCCAGUCUGGAGUUCGAGAGAGGUGAGUGGAAUUCCGAGUGUAGAGGUGAAAUUCGUAGAUAUUCGGAGGAACACCAGUGGCGAAGGCGGCUCACUGGCUCGAUACUGACGCUGAGGUGCGAAAGUGUGGGGAGCAAACAGGAUUAGAUACCCUGGUAGUC